rnacentral:rRNA from 1 species
AGUGAACGCUGGCGGUAGGCCUAACACAUGCAAGUCGAACGACCGCACAGUAAGAGCUUGCCCUUACGGGUGGCGAGUGGCGGAUGGGUGAGGAAUACAUAGGAAUCUACUUUUUCGUGGGUGAUAACGUAGGGACACUUAUGCUAAUAGCUCAUACGACCUACGGCUUGAUGCAAAAGAUCUUGGGACCUUGCGCGACUGAAUGAGACGAUGUCGGAUUAGCUAGUUGGCGAGGUAAGGGCCCACCAAGGCGACGAUCCGUAGCUGGUCUGAGAGGAUGAUCAGCCACACUGGAACUGAGACACGGUCCAGACUCCUACGGGAGGCAGCAGUGGGGAAUAUUGCACAAUGGGCGCAAGCCUGAUCCAGCCAUACCGCGUGAGUGAAGAAGGCCUUCGGAUUGUAAAGCCCUGUUGUUGGGAAAGAAAAGCAGCAUGUUAAUACCCCGCUGUUCUGACGGUACCCAAAGAAUAAGCACCGGCUAACUUCGUG